rnacentral:rRNA from 1 species
GUGGGGAAUAUUGGACAAUGGGCGCAAGCCUGAUCCAGCCAUGCCGCGUGAGUGAUGAAGGCCUUAGGGUUGUAAAGCUCUUUCGUCAGGGAAGAUAAUGACGGUACCUGAAGAAGAAGCCCCGGCUAACUUCGUGCCAGCAGCCGCGGUAAUACGAAGGGGGCUAGCGUUGCUCGGAAUCACUGGGCGUAAAGCGCACGUAGGCGGCUUUCUAAGUCAGGGGUGAAAUCCCGGGGCUCAACCCCGGAACUGCCUUUGAUACUGGAGAGCUUGAGUUCGGGAGAGGUGAGUGGAACUGCGAGUGUAGAGGUGAAAUUCGUAGAUAUUCGCAAGAACACCAGUGGCGAAGGCGGCUCACUGGCCCGAUACUGACGCUGAGGUGCGAAAGCGUGGGGAGCAAACAGGAUUAGAUACCCCGGUAGUCC